ACGCUGGCGGCGUGCCUAAUACAUGCAAGUAAAACGCACAGUUUAUACUGUAGCUUGCUACACCAUAGACUGUGAGUUGCGAACGGGUGAGUAACGCGUAGGUAACCUGCCUGGUAGCGGAGGAUAACUAUUGGAAACGAUAGCUAAUACCGCAUAAUAUUAAUUAUUGCAUGAUAAUUGAUUAAAAGGUGCAAUUGCACCACUACCAGAUGGACCUGCGUUGUAUUAGCUAGUAGGUGAGGUAACGGCUCACCUAGGCGACGAUACAUAGCCGACCUGAGAGGGUGAUCGGCCACACUGGGACUGAGACACGGCCCAGACUCCUACGGGAGGCAGCAGUAGGGAAUCUUCGGCAAUGGACGAAAGUCUGACCGAGCAACGCCGCGUGAGUGAAGAAGGUUUUCGGAUCGUAAAGCUCUGUUGUAAGAGAAGAACGGGUGUGAGAGUGGAAAGUUCACACUGUGACGGUACCUUACCAGAAAGGGACGGCUAACUACGUGCCAGCAGCCGCGGUAAUACGUAGGUCCCGAGCGUUGUCCGGAUUUAUUGGGCGUAAAGCGAGCGCAGGCGGUUAGAUAAGUCUGAAGUUAAAGGCUGUGGCUUAACCAUAGUACGCUUUGGAAACUGUUUAACUUGAGUGCAGAAGGGGAGAGUGGAAUUCCAUGUGUAGCGGUGAAAUGCGUAGAUAUAUGGAGGAACACCGGUGGCGAAAGCGGCUCUCUGGUCUGUAACUGACGCUGAGGCUCGAAAGCGUGGGGAGCGAACAGGAUUAGAUACCCUGGUAGUCCACGCCGUAAACGAUGAGUGCUAGGUGUUAGGCCCUUUCCGGGGCUUAGUGCCGCAGCUAACGCAUUAAGCACUCCGCCUGGGGAGUACGACCGCAAGGUUGAAACUCAAAGGAAUUGACGGG
rnacentral:rRNA from 1 species